GCCUGGGGCGAACAUUACUCCUGUUCUGUGUAUGGCACUGGUAGAAUUCACUGUGAAAACACGCUAUCAGUGAAUUACCAUAGGGCCAUAAACAGAGCAGAGAAAGAACCACGAGGCCCUCG
rnacentral:pre_miRNA from 14 species